UUGCUCUGGCGGAUCAGUGGCGAACGGGUGAGUAACACGUGAGUAACCUGCCCCCGACUCUGGGAUAACUGCUAGAAAUGGUAGCUAAUACCGGAUAUGACGAUUGGCCGCAUGGUCUGGUCGUGGAAAGAAUUUCGGUUGGGGAUGGACUCGCGGCCUAUCAGGUUGUUGGUGAGGUAAUGGCUCACCAAGCCUACGACGGGUAGCCGGCCUGAGAGGGUGACCGGCCACACUGGGACUGAGACACGGCCCAGACUCCUACGGGAGGCAGCAGUGGGGAAUAUUGCACAAUGGGCGAAAGCCUGAUGCAGCAACGCCGCGUGAGGGAUGACGGCCUUCGGGUUGUAAACCUCUUUUAGUAGGGAAGAAGCGAAAGUGACGGUACCUGCAGAAAAAGCACCGGCUAACUACGUGCCAGC
rnacentral:rRNA from 1 species